AGUUCCACUCACCUAGUGUAGACAGGAUGAAAUGAAAAACUUUUCGUCUUAUCAGUUCAUCUCCUCUGACGGACUGUCUUCAGUCUCUUUCUCACUGCCGCAAUGUUGCAUCUCUUGCUAUCUCCUACCGCUAUUUUGAUGCCAACUGCUCUUCUGAGCUUCCUAACUGCAUGUCUCCCAUCCUACCGAGGCCUUGCUGCAUGAGGUUAUCUUUCUAAUACAAGAGUUAACCAGCAUUCAUUCAUACCCUUCUGGUACAGUCUGCUCUGUGGAGUAAAGACACAUACUUUGGCGUGAUGCCUGCGUGGUUGCUGACGCAAUAGACCGGUAUUGCGCCAAACAUCUCAUAUCUCAUUAAAACGCCAUAGUCAUUAACGUUUCAUACAGUAAUUGUCAUUCCAAACUGUAUUCGGGAACCCCUGUUCAAAUUUCUCCCAAGAGUAGUUUCCUGGAGGAAAUUUGGCAGACGCCGUCACGCACGCUAGUCUGCACAACUGUCACGCCUCAUACAGUAUGCAGCAAGCAGCCUGUCACAAUGGAAUACCUCACACGCUGAAUCAGUAGACUUCCACAACAAGAAUUCUCAAACUUCAAAGCAAAGGAGAAAAGGAAUAGAGGGAGAAGGAAUGAAUAACAGUGGUGGAGCAGAGGACCUACACUAAAUAUGGAGGAGGAGGAGGUUGGGUUGGAGAGAGGAAGCAAACGUCUAAUGGAGGAAACUAGGAGACUAAUUAUGAGGAAACAUCUUUUACAACUCACACUACUGGAGGAGGAGAUGGUGGUGGUGGUGGAGAAAGAGGAGGAGGAGGAGGUACUCAAGAUUCCUCCUCUUCGACUUACUCCUCUUCCUCUUCAUCAAGCACAACAUUCACUUCAUCUUCAUUGAAUUUUUGGUUUCUCUUCCUCUGGUUCUUCCUCCUCUUCCUUCUUUUAUGGGUCUUCUGGUCAUCACAGCAGGAGGACGAGGGAAGCUGACGACUCGUGGAGUGGGAAAAUACAAUCAGGAGCUGCGGGUUGACUCACUGCUUGAAGAUCCGCAGCAUGGCCGGCCCUUUCUAUGAGCCACACUACAAGAGGUGAAAGAAAAGACGUCAUCUCCCUUGUGUCUCCUGCCUAGUUCCUGGAUGAGGCCCCCCCCUCUGUGCUUUGGUGGGUCGUCUUCCUCAAAGUGCUGGCCAACUCCCUCAUCCUUCUGCUCAUCAUACUCAUACUGUGGAAGGUAAAGUGAGCUGCAGUGAAGAUGAAGUGAGCCUCAGGAAUGAACAGUGCUGAAUAUGUGUCAGUGUCUUGAGAAGUGCAUUGCUGUGAAGGGGUUAGUGUGAGACCUUGUGUGCAAGAGUAAACAAGAAAAUGUUGUAGGGUAGAUAAUUUUCUGCCUUAGGAUCAUGAGUUUUUGGGUCAGGUUCAGGAUUUUAAGGGGGCAAAAUUCAGAGGUCCAGGCCAGAUUUAGGAGGCAUUUAUGGGCAGACUUGGAGAUUUUCAGACCAGGUUCAGUUCUUGGGAAAGAUUCAGACAUUUGAGGUUCAAUUCACAUGGGUGAUUCCUGCAUCUGUCUAGACCCUAGUCUAGAGGCUGAACUAAUCACCAGUGACAUCACUCUGUUGACAGGAAAAUUUACCAGAGUUGCCGAGUGUCCUGUGUGAUGGGGGACUUCAAGUCUAGUAUUAAGAAUGACAGCACUACAUUCCCUUCAAAGAGAAAUGUUUGGCAGCUACAAUCAUUAAAUUUCCUAUUCACAGAGAGACACCACUUAAGGAAGCACUGUCUCUUAGACAAGUGUAAUUAGUAAGAACAUGAGGGAAGGUGCAAGAAGCCAACAGGCCAACACAUGGCAGUCCCCAUGUGAUGGUUGAUUUGAGGUAUGUAUAAGGAUGAGGGAGGGCUGACAUACUGACACACCACAUCUCAGACAGGCAUAGGUGAUAAAGAUGUAAGAAACUAAAGGAAACUGUAAGAAGCAGUGAGGCUUAUAUGUGACUCUGUGAUGUGUGGUGUGAGGCAGGUAUAGGGAUGAGGGAGGGCCUACUACAUCUCACAUAGGAACAGGUGAUAAAGAUGUAGCAACUAAAGGAAGCUGUAAGAAGUGAGGCCUACAUUUUUUUUAUGCAAAGGAGAAGCCGACCAGAGGCAACAAAAAUAGUAAAAAAAAAAAGGCCCACUUGAUUGCCAGUUGUUUACUGUAUUGUUUGUCUCUCCUUGGUGAUGUGGCAGUGUGUUUGUGAUGUGUGGUGUGAGGCAGGUUUGGGAGCUGAGGGAAGGCUUGGGUGUGUCUGUGUGCGAUAUGAAUGUGAUAUAUACAUACGAUUUAUAAUUGUAUUCUUAUAUGAUAUUUUGUAUGCUUUGAUGUGUUUAGUGAUUCAUGUUCUGAGAGAGGUUGGUAUUGGUUCCACAGCUGAGAAGUGUGUAUACUGUAUGCUUUGUCUAUCCUUGCUAUUAUAAAUGUUACUAGUACUACUGGACACUGUGUUCCCAAUACAUGUAACACUGUACUCUCAUUGUUUUAUUUUGGUUUUUGUACUGGUGUAGUGCUGUCUAAUGAAUUUUACUUUAAUAUGCA
rnacentral:lncRNA from 1 species